rnacentral:rRNA from 1 species
UACGUAGGGUGCGAGCGUUGUCCGGAAUUAUUGGGCGUAAAGAGCUCGUAGGCGGUGUGUCACGUCGGCCGUGAAAACCUGCAGCUUAACUAUGGGCGUGCGGUCGAUACGGGCAUCACUGGAGUUCGGCAGGGGAGACUGGAAUUCCUGGUGUAGCGGUGAAAUGCGCAGAUAUCAGGAGGAACACCGGUGGCGAAGGCAGCCCCCUGGGCUGAGAUUGACGCUCAGGCACGAAAGCGUGGGGAGCAAACAGG